rnacentral:rRNA from 1 species
GACGAAGGAUGCAAGCGUUAUCCGGAUUCAUUGGGUUUAAAGGGAGCGUAGGUGGCCUUAUAAGUCAGCGGUGAAAUCUCUGGGCUUAACCCAGAAAUUGCCAUUGAUACUGUAGGGCUUGAGUACAGUUGCUGUGGGCGGAAUAUGACAUGUAGUGGUGAAAUACAUAGAGAUGUCAUAGAGCACCGAUUGCGAAGGCAGCUCACAAAACUGUAACUGACACUGAGGCUCGAAAGUGCGGGGAUCAAACAGG